GUCAGUGAGCACAGAGGCCUAACACAGGUGGCUAACAUCAUUGUUGCAGAAAGCAACAAUUUUUGAAACAAUGGACCUGGGUUAAAAAAUUCUAAAUCAGAUUUAGAGGUUCCACUUAUGACAGAUUCCCUAGAACUCCAUCCUAUCAUAACUCAAAAAAGAAAGUACAAGAUAGACAGGCAGGGGGUACCCCCCAAUCAAUGGCCCCAUGCCCAAACACAUUUACAUGUAACAACCAGGCCAUACACACAAACAGAAUUAAUGGACAUAGUACAGCGAUUCUGGCAAAAGCCGAACGAAAGUGUACCAACCUGGUUAGUAAGACUAUGGUAUUCAGGGGCAGAAAGUGUCAUGGUCAAUGGGCUAGAAAUAUCUAAAUUGGCCACCAUGAUGGUGCACCCUGCCCUUAGGCAAAGAAUAUAUGCAGGUGUCCAAUAUACUAAUGAAAAUCAUUCUGUAAUCGAUUGGCUAAUGGUAGCAUGCCAUGUGGUAUGGCCAAAAAAAUCAGAUACACCAUUAAACACAGGAUUGUGGUCCACCAUGGAGGACCUUCAGAAUUACAUUUGUGAACUUGGCAUAAGAGAAGCAAUAUACGAGGACCCAUUUGAAAGACCCCAUUUAAGGGCUGACUUCCACUGAGGAAGGAUCUCUCUCUGGAGAUUGCUCAUCUUGGAAUCUUUUUGGUGAGCCCAGGACAUGGGUAAGCUUUCCAUUCAUCCCUGAUUAUUCCUUUUUAACGCAAUAAUUUCUCUAGCCUUCAAUCUGUAUACUUAUUGACCCUACAGUUUCAUUACAUGGAUAAAUGAGACUGGAUGAACACUUGUGCUGCAUACCCUGCUUUGUUUUUGCUACCAGCCAAUCUUAAGGAAAGAGAGGCUAAAGCUGAACAGAGAAAAUUCUGAGAUGUGUGUUUCCUUUGGUUUGACUAAAUUAACUUCAGACAUUUUCCCAUAUAGACAGGUUGACCAUGCCUAUGAAGGAAUGUCUGUUGCUGAACCUGCCUGACCUUCUCAUCAACAAGGGACAGAAGACAGUCUGACCUUGAGACAUCCAAGCUCAACAGCUUGUGAAGAAGGUAGAGGCUGUUCCAGCCCAGAACAAACUUCAGAGGCAGUAAGAUCUUCUGUUGAGAGAUGACUAUGAAAUGGUAAGAAAGUACCUGUACCUGUAUCAUUUCAUCCUUAGCAAGACUGAUAGUUCUCCAUUCAAUGGACUAGCUGUUUGGAUCCUACUCUGAGGCUCACGCUUGCUGAAGCUGUGAAGCUAAAUGCUAAUAGUUAUGGUUUGCAACACUGAGAACUGUGAUUAAACCCAAAGCAUGUCAGAUCUUUUACAACCCAGUGAAUCAGUUCUGAAUAUAAGUUCUUGAAUAGCCUCUAGGUGAGGAGAGUAUAUAUGGGUCUUGAUUUAUACCCUAAAAUCAAAGAGGAACCUUCAGUAAGCUCAUAAAUGCAUAAACAGAGUAAGUGGCUCAAGGUGAAGGUGAAGUUCAAAACAAAGGUUGGGCUAGUCCAAAGUAACUUCAGUCUUGUGGUUUAUACUGUACCAGUAUCUAAGCUGCUCCUGGAAAACUCAGUGACUUACAGUGGCCAAAUUAUAGGGAGACCUAGAAGUCAGCAGUGCAUCACUGGGGCCCUUGAUUAAGAUCUUUGCUUUGAGGAGUCAGGGUAGAUCACCACAGGCUGCAGGGAGGUUGAGAUUUUGGGCCUGUCUCCCAGGGAGAUAUAACAGACUUUACCCUGGAUAUUACCAAAUUUAUCAACCUCUACUCAAAAUUUCAGUUAAAUCACCUGUCAUAAUGAUUCUUUUUUCCCCUCCUUGGAGAACAGAGGUAUGUCCCCAUAUCUAGACUGAUAAGACACCUGAUAUUUCCUAGGUUGGCUCUUAACUAGAAGUCCUAUUAAAGUAUUCAUGUACCUGCCUUUUUAUUUAUGGUGUUGUAGAAGCAGAACUAAAACAUCUCUCCAUCUCUCUUGAUUUCUUUUUUUUGUCCUGAAGUUCAUGAAAGUGACAAGUAAUUUAGGAGCCUUACCUGAAUUUUGAUGUUGUUUUGGUUCUGAUGAGUUUUAGAAUUUUUCUUGAAUUCACUUCCCUAACUUUAAAAGACAUUUCACUGUAUUCACUAUUUUAAAAUAUUUUGUUAGUUUACAGUUCAAAAUUGAGUUAUGCACUAUACACACUUGUACAUUUUAAAGGAACUCACAUUAUCAUGUUAUGGAAAUCACAGUGAUAAAGGAUUAAUCAGUUGUGGGUUUAUUUUCUAUGUUGGAUUGUUUUUCUGUUUGUUUGUUGUUUGUUUAACCUACAGUGAAUUCAGCUGUGGUAAUCAUUGCUGGUAAAGCCUGUAUCAGGACUUCAUCCACAUCAUCUGCCAAUAGUGGACUUCUAGCCUGUAUUGAUAUAUGCACUAGAGAAUUGAUUGCCUGCCUUGGUAGAUAAGAACAUGUAUUGUUCUUCAGUGGGUGUAGUGCAUUACUCUUUUCUGGCUAAUGUGAUCUUAGAAUCCUUCUCAAUAACAUAAUUCCACCAGUCAAACCAGAUGACAAAAUAUAAAUUUUAUGGACUUGUAGUCCUCAAUUUAUAAUCCUUUGUAAAAGACAAAUAUGGAUGAAUGAAGUUUCCCAUAAUGAAAAAAACAAUUUCAGUCAGCUGGGGUUCUCUUUUUUGAUGUGUUUCUUAUGUUCAUUCUUUUAGCUUUUCUUCAGAUUUAAUUUCCUUCUUCUGACAGUAAUCCUGUGAUAGUAGAUCUAAUUUUUCUGUUAGUUAGUGAAGAGUAAGUCCCAGAACUAUACAAGCUAUUAAUGUGGUUAACUCCUGGAUGAAUUAUGGCUUGAGUGCAGCAUUGGUUGUAGCUUCCUAAUAGUCAUGAGUGGUUCUUCUAGUUCAGAAAUAUUGAAGAUUGAAAGACAGACUCAUAACUUUUCCAGCUAUUUCCAGCUCAUUUCUUUAUUUGAAGUGGAAAGAUAUCAUAAUCUUAUUCAUAAAUGUUUACAUCACUGUAGAUACAUUUCUUCACUAAAAAGUUAUUUCUAACCCCUCUUUUAGAAGGGUAAUUAUUUGGAUCCUGAUCCCAAAAUGUCAACACCUUUAAAUCUACAAAAAUAGGGAACUUCUUUAUCCCAUCUACUUGAACAUUAUUCAAGGUCAAGGUAAGAAUUUGUUUCCAUAUACUCAAAAUAGUAUUGCUGUAUGGCUUCAUGCCGCAACUCCCUGUCGUAAACUUGCAUAGUAUGCAGCCCACAAAUCGGAAAUUCUUCAAGAAUAGCCCAACCACAGCUUAGAUAAAACUUAUUCUCCAUGGAAAUUUUUCAUGAAAAUCAAUCAAGGAAUUUUUCAGAUUCAAGUGGCCUCUGCUGCUCACAAUAAAUUUAACACCUGCAGAGUAUGAUACACCCUGUAUAGUGUCUCAUCCUAUAUGAGAAAUUGCUUCCUUGAAACCUUGAUAACAGUGAACAAUAACAUUCAAUAAAAAGGGUAUGUGCAGGAGAUUAUUGCAAUUAAUAAACAAUUGGAACCUACAAUUAACAUCUACAAUGAUUUUUUUAUAUUUCUUUCUACUACAUACUCUGAAAAUGAAGAAUACUCAUUAUUGGCAAGGGACCAUAUAAUUCCAGCCAUUUUUAUUAAGCUAAAUCCUCAUGAAAGUCAGCAGGGAUUUCUGCUGAAAACAGAAUGGACCAGUAAGGUCUAUGGAAUGCACUGGCUGAGGCAGAAUAUUGCUGUUUAUAUGGCUAUUUCACAGCACUUGUCAUUACCUUUCAGUGCCAAUGAUAUUACAAAGAAGCAGGACUGUGAAAGAUGUCCUUUCCAGUGGUGGUACAUGGCUGCAUGUUAAACUUCACAGACUACCACAUCUAGUUUAGGAACUGUUUCUCAGCCGGGAAAGCCAGUCUGUUUUUUAAAGACAAAAUCUAUAGAUGUUUAUCACCAGUGACAUUGAUAAUUGAAGCUGCAUGACCCAUAUAUAUAAAAUUUCAAAUGGCCUAGUUGCAUUCUUAAGGGUAUAGUAGUCAAUCAGCUACAGGAUUGUUAAUCAACACUCCUUAAGAUGACUUCUAUUAAAAAAGUAAUAAUAAUAAAAUUCUUCUAAAUCUAAACAAUGUGUAUCAGCAACACCGAGGUUAUUUCGAAGUUAUUCUUUUUACUCUCUGUUCUCUACCUCCCUCCCUGCUCUUCCCAAAAAUGCCUAAAAAUUUGUUAGGGUUUUUGCAAUAGGUUGGCUCUGAGAUUCUCUACACUGCUGUCAAAUCCAGUUUCAAUUAAUUAAUUUCUUAAAUAUCCUAACUUGCAUGAAUCCUGUGAGGUGCCACAAUACCCUUUAGUCAUUACAGAAAAUUAACUGAAAUUUGAAAAUCUUCGUAUCCCUUAAGUGUUAAAUGAUUCUAGAAAAAGCUAUUAACCAUGGCUGGCUUCAACACCCAAGUCACAUGAAUUCUUUUGUUUUCAUAGCAGUAAGACUGAAAAAAUCAUACCAAAACAAAAUCUUUAGACCAUAAGAGGAUAAAUGUAACAGAAAGAUCUGACCAGUUGAAAUGUGCUUUAUAACAUAAAAUAAAUCCAUAUCAAUAUCAGCUCCUGGAUUAAUCUAGUCAUAUUUUGGGGUUUAGUCCUGUUUUAUAAAAUAUUUGUCUAUACCCAUUUCCUAUCUGGGGAAUGGAAAUUGUCCAGAGUGAGCAAAAUGUUCUGGUAUGCCAUAAUAACUCUUCAAGCAGAUAUACCAGAAUCUCCCACAGAGAGUAUUUGCAAUGCAGUAACAGUAUUCAAAAUUCUGUACCAAUACCUUUGAAUUCCCAUUUAGAUCAUAGCUCAUAUUUGCGUAGGCUAUAGAAUGAUCAUGAGAAAACAGUAAAACUGACUGUCCACAAAGUUCCCUUUGGGGAUAAAUAAUCUGAAUCAAAAGGAAAUACUACAUUAACCAUUCACUACUUUCAUUUCUAGUAACAGAAGAACAAGACAGAUACAUCCUAGGUACCAAAGAUUAGAACUUACAUUACUAGAACAAAGUAGCUGUAUAUCAGUCUGGUUUAACGAUGGAAGUUUUGGAAGUUCUAGUUGGAACAUACAGGGAUACUGAAGCAUUAUGAAUACAGAGAAAGUGUCUGAGAUUCAAAGGAAAAAUGGAGGAAAUAUACUCACUUCAUCACUGAGCAGAGAGAGGUUCAGCCGUGAGUUACAGGUAAAGCCAGAAAAUUUGGAGGGUUCACUUAUGAGCUGUACUCAGCUGACAUAGAUUCAUAAAAGAAAGACUAUGCUGUACAUGAAAGACUGCUCUGCUUGUCCAUUUAGACCUAAUGCCAAGCAUGUUCUUGGAGCACAACAAUUUAUUGUAAGGAAAAACAAUGUUAAGAAAAAACAUAACAAGAUAGAGUUCUGGGAAAGGGGCAUUAAAAUGUAAAUAAACAGAUAUCUUCCAGAUGACAAAUGAGCCCAAUGAUGGAAAAAUAAGAAUAACAAAGGGUUGAUGCCUGAGAUUCAGAAGAUGUUUACUUGCAAAAGGCAGAUAUCUGAAGUCUUGAGGAAUGCAUUUUAGCCAACUUUGGGCACAGAAGCUUCUUAGAAGUGAAAGACAACUCUAAAGAAGCAAAAAAUAGAAAUAAAAAAAAUGCAGAGGUUCUGACUCGUAAGGUUAUUGGUUACUACCAGCCUUCCUUAUUAAGAUAACCAUCCUCAUGGCUUUCUGUGCAUGUUUCACCUACAUGACAUUCAGAUAUUUUUGUGUCUCAUAACAGAGAGAGCCAUAAGCCUAGCAACUCAGCACCCAGCAACAAGACCUUCCUUAGCUAGACAAUGUAAUACCAGCUUGGGGUUAUUGAAGUGUGUAGGUAUAGCCAGGUGGCUUAUCAGAGACCUUGAACUUGGUACAUGAUUAGAAAAACUGCUUGAUACUUUUAUCACAGAUGUCUCUUGAAGCAUUCCUCCUGAUUUGGUCUAAAUCCUUAUCAAGAAAUUAUUUUACUUACUGAUUAAAGUCAAGCAGUCUAUUAAUGAUUUCAACUUACUUUUCAAUUGCAGAUAUAAAAAAUUAAAAUAUUUAAUUAGCAGGAUAUAAAUAAGUUUGAUAUUUGGUCUUGGUAUUUUGUUAUAUAAGACUUCAUAACAUGACACAGAGCACAGAGCAAACAAGGAAGCAACAGAAGCAGGGAGUGGUAAUCUAUUGCAGGUAGGUAGAAUGACCAUUCGUUCACAGCAGUCUUAAGCAAACAGUGUUUUGAAAAGUUUACAAAGAAUUUACAGAUCCCUGAAAGUGACUUGGAAAUUGUCCUUGCUGUUUGUAUGGCAAACAGGUAUCGGACCAGAGAGAUUAUCACGUUACAAAGGAGUAAUGAAAUAAAGAUCUUACCCAUAUCCUGGGCUCACAGAAGGGCUCUAAGAAGAGUGAACACUACAUAGAGACCCUUCCUCCUUGGGAGUCAACCCUUAAAUGGCAUCUAGGACAGCCCUUAAAUGGGGUCUUCUGGUCACUCAGGUGAAAUUGCAUUCACCUGUGCCCCUGCAGCUGACUCAGCACUCGCCUCAGGUGGUCAAUCAGAUGUUCAGGCCGUGAUUCAACAGUUCCCAUAUACUGUUGCUUAAGGACAGUUGUCUCUGUGCAAGAAUGUACCAUCCUAGUCCUGUCUUUACUGCAUUAAGAACUGCAAAUAUUGUGCUACCGAUUUCUUUGCAUAAUAUACUCAUCUUGUUCCUACAUCCUGGCAAGCUGUAAAUGUUUAUUUUUUUCUCCUUCUCCACCUUCCUCUUUCUCAUUCUUCCUCUUCUUCUUUCUCAUUCUCUUCUUCUUCAUUUGCUCCAUCUUUGUUUUGUAUUAUACCAUAUAUGAAUAUAGAGAUGACUCAUUUCUAAUUAUCUUUUCUAAUAGAACAUUUGCAAGGUGGGAUUUUGCAUUUUUCAGAAUCAUC
ensembl:lncRNA